rnacentral:rRNA from 1 species
CUAUGGCCAUACCACCCUGAACACACCCAACCCCGUCUGAUCUCGGAAGCUAAGCAGGGUCGGGCCUGGUUAGUACUUGGAUGGGAGAAUAUCGUGUGGAAUGUCUGAGAAUUCCUGUAUGGGUAUGGG